ACAGUGGGGCAAAAAACUAUUUAGUCAGCCACCAAUUGUGCAAGUUCUCCCACUUAAAAAGAUGAGAGAGGCCUAUAAUAGACAUCAUAGGUAGACCUCAACUAUGAGAGACAGAAUGAGAAAACAAAUCCAAACAAUCACAGGAGCAGUUGUUUUGUUAUAUACCGUGUGGUGUACCGCGUGGAAGAGGUAUGUUCCUGAGAAGGAUAAUUGAAGAACGUCAGGAGUGUAUGCCAAGAGUAUGUAUUCACAGCAGGGAUACCUAAAAGGACAACCAAGAAUGAUAGAAUAAAUCAAUCCAGAGUUCUGAAGACACACAUUACCAGGUUCAAAUUAACCUACUUUGGACAUACUAUGCAAAGACCUUGUUCUCAAGAAGACUUUAAUGCCGAGAAAGAUGGAAGGAAAAAAUGUGGAUAACUAACAGCAAGAUUGAUAGUUACAGCAACAAUGAGUCUACAUUGGAAGACCUAAACGGUUAGUGGCAGAUCACCAUGGAGAAAAUCUGUCUUGUGUCAUUACUAAAGUUGAUAACAACUUGAUGGCAUUUAAUCAAUAAAUCAAUCCCUCUCUUAAAA